rnacentral:rRNA from 1 species
GAUGAACGCUGGCGGCGUGCUUAACACAUGCAAGUCGAACGAAGCACUUAGGACGGAUUACUUCGGUUUGAAGUUCUAUUUGACUGAGUGGCGGACGGGUGAGUAACGCGUGGGUAACCUGCCUCAUACAGGGGGAUAACAGUUAGAAAUGACUGCUAAUACCGCAUAAGCGCACGGAAUCGCAUGGUUUUGUGUGAAAAACUUUGGUGGUAUGAGAUGGACCCGCGUCUGAUUAGCUGGUUGGUGAGGUAACGGCCCACCAAGGCGACGAUCAGUAGCCGGCCUGAGAGGGUGAACGGCCACAUUGGGACUGAGACACGGCCCAA